rnacentral:tRNA from 2 species
GCUAGUGUAGCUCAGUGGUAGAGCGCGCCUCUCAUAAGGGCGUCGUCGGUGGUUCGAUCCCACCCAUUAGCAC